UUAAGAUCCAAAUUGGAUACUACUGAAAGCAUGGAAGGCAAGCAUUCGUUUCUGUGCCUAGCACUUUUCCUGUGCCUGGAGAAGAACUGAUGUUUUGAUGAUUGUAAGAGGGGCAAGGAGAAGCUUGUUUGUGAUGCUGCUCAAGUACUGCUUUAUUUCGGAGUUGAACAAAUCAUCUAUGUUUCUGAAAUGACGCACUGCUAAAUAAAGGUCUACACUCCGAGGAAUGCGCCUAUACUAGUGAGGAAAUUGAUGUGGUUCGUGAGCAACGGGCUAAGUGUUUUACCCGCAAGUAUUUACUAUUGGCUUGAGCGCGCUUGAUCGAGGUGGUUUAGUUGUUAUAGAAC